rnacentral:sRNA from 1 species
CCUCAGCGUUAACAGGAGCCUCUUCAUCUUCCUCGCUUGGAAAUUAUGAUCACCAUAGUCAAUGAUGAGAUCUUCUGGGUUUCUCUUGGCGUGGCGUUCUUUAAGAGUCUCAAAUUUCAUACCAUCGAUCACGAGCUUUUACUCUGGCCGCUUGCCCCUUCUUAAAGCAACGUAGCAAAAUUUCUCAUCCUCAAAACCACGCAAAGGCACACCAUUGGACCUCUGCAGCAAACAUCAGAAACGGGAAAUAAAAAAGGGUAACAUCUACAGAGUUCAAUAAGGCUGAAUCUUAACAAAAAAAAAAAAGCUUUAAUAGUUAAAGCACAAGUUAGAAGCACAUUAAAUGGUUUGACUUGCAACCAUUCACUAGUGAAAAUACCACUCUAAGAUCAGCACAUUUGUGGGAGCAUAUAGAAGCCUAUCCAAUAUGAAGAGCAAUUACAUGGGAAAAUGCAAAUCUAUCUCAGUGCAACACCUUCAUCAGAAAUUAAUUGAUAAUGAUAUUAUUCAAGGAAUCCUUGUAAUUUAGAUAUAUGUACAUUUUCUCAACUGUUGAACACAAUGGCAGUAUUUAUCUGUAUUCUCCAAUGGACACCGACCAUCAUGAGGACACUGAUGCAUGAUGUGAAAUUAGUUUUAUACAGAAGCAUAGGUAAGCUUUUGAGCUUUUGUCAUUUUCAGCUUACCGGGGCAACCACAAAAGCACCAUUUUUCAAUGAGGCUUCUUGACAUACAAUGCUCUUCAUUUCACUUGGAGCAGCACGUGUGGAUUUUUCAAUUUUGCGGCACUUUCUCUUUUCCAUCCAAAGGAUAUACGAGCGCAUUUGGCUUAUAAUCUUUGCUCCUUGAGGAGUUCCAGGCUCUAACAAAACCAAAACAUCUCCUGUUAGGUCCCAGAGCUGCCUCACUAUUGUUAUUCGGUCAUUCAAAGAAGGAAUCUCCCCGAAACUUACUGAAAUUACAAGAUCGUGCCGCCGCUCAUGUUUUUCAAUGUUGCGGUUCAACUCUUGGAUGCUAUCAUAGCUAUGAAUAAGUGAGUAACACUUACUAUCGAGAAGGUUCUUCCCUGCUCUUUGCAUCUCUUUGGAUGGCUCAACCAAAUUAACCUUCUCUAUAGACUUUGGCCACACUGCCCUCAUUGCCCUGCAUUUUUUCAUCCAUGUUAAGCUUAUACAAAUUACAUUCUCAGUAAUAUAUAUCAACGGGCCAACUGAGCUGUGCUCACCAAAGUGCUGAACUCGGCCCUGCUCCAAAAUCCAACACUUUGGCAGGUGCAAAGUCUGGUAACCUCCGACGGACCUGCAAAAUCGACGCUUCAGUCCA